rnacentral:lncRNA from 1 species
GGGCUGCGGCCCGACGCGGCCUCUCCGCCGAGGCGUGGAGACGUCACGCUAGAGGCCGCGAGCUGGCCAGACACUCCGUCUUUCCCACAACAGCAGCCUCAGUCCCGGCAGCCCCCUCCCCCCGGCCUGGCCUGCCAGCUCAGGGUGAGCCCGGUCGGAUUGUCACUCGACGCCCACUAGUGGCUGAGGAGGCUCCAGUGCGCAGGCUCCGGGCACCGGAUAAAAGCGGAGCUGGCGAGUCCCGCGCUGUCUCGAUGGAGGAGCGAGAAACGCAAGAGGUCGGGGGGAGAAGCCGCAGAAAAAAUUGCAGCCAUCGUCAGCGCCGCCUCCCUGCCACCGUGUAUGGGGUAAAAGCUGCCGUUGCCGCUGCCGGUGCAGUCGCUGCCGCCGCCUCCUAUACUUCUUAGCACCGGGGAAGGAUUCCCCGCCGCGGGACAGUGUGCUGGGCGGGGAGCGGGAGUUCGUUUGUGUGGCGGUGAUUAAACGAGGGAGGGACAGAGCUGGUUUCUCGAACCGAAAAGGGGAGGCCAAGGAACAAAACAGGGUUCUCCACUAAAAUCACACAGCGAUUACGGAUCUGGCUUUGGGGGCCUUUCCCCGGAAUGGCGGUUUCCGUCUUCUUGGCCCGCAGCACGACCUUGGGUGCUCCGUAAGAGGAGUGGGGAGAGGCAGAGGCGGUGUCGGCAGCCAAUCGGCGUCUGGUGAUUUCUGUCGGGCGCGUAGGGAUUGGCUGACGAUGACCUCAUGCUGCAGCAGCGGGUGGGGCCAGAGUCGUCGGGGGUGGCUGUUGCAAAGGCAGAGAGUGAGAAGUGAUGACGGUGAUCGUUGUCGCCGCGUCUUCUGUGGAACCCAAGCAGUGCCGAAGGAAGUCGCAAGGCUCUUCCCCGACCUUUUGCUCCUCUCCCUGCGCGAGGUGAGGGCCCUGGCUCGGCCUCUGCGAGACUUUGGGGCGCUGGUGCGGCCGUGGAGGCGCAAUUUCUCCUGUGACUUUUGUAACUGCGUCAGGGCAAGAUGGCGCUGGGUCUCCUUGGGGCGCGGGGGGAGAGGCACGUCCACCGCCGCCGCAGCGCAUGUGACCGGCUGCAUUCCUGUGGGGUUUGGCGGGGACCCAGGCAGGGCGGGGGAGGGGACCGGGUUUGGGCGGAGGAGAUGGUGGUGCGGUCGGCGUUGGCUGCCCGAAGAGGAAGAGAUGACUGUUUGAAAGCUCUUCCCCUCCCCCACUCCCCGCAGCAGAACUGCUGCGGGGGGGGGGGGAGCCCCUGAAAGGACACUCCUUUCGGGGUGUGCCAGCCACUGGUGGAGGAGAAGGUUUGACGCCUUCUUAUAUCUGCCUUUCUCCUUGCAAAGUAUGCUUACGUAAGGUGGCAGUUCCCUCCUGUAAGCCAACUAGGAGGCCCUGAGUGUCACUGGUAUGGGUAACAAGGACAGGUUAGGCUCUGAAGGCACCACAGGUAGGAGUGUUGAUUAUUUCAGACAAAACAUAAAGUUUGGGGGGUCUGAAUAGAAGACUACAGCAUUCUCAGAGUUUGAAAGCAAGUGAAUAACACCCAGGAACACUUAGGGUUUCUAGGCAGACAGCGAUUAAGGACUGCAUCACAGUCUGAACGGAAGGGCCCUGUCAAACCUUCUCCUUAGAUUCUUUGUGUUCAUUACCCUCCCUGUCUGUACAUCCCGUGAGAGAGUUUAAGUAAUCUUACUGGUGAGGGUUGCCUUUUCAAAUAUAAGUAUUCUUAGUAAUUUUAGUAUUUUGUUCUGUAUGAAACUGAAAGGUCAUUUUCUAUACUUCACGUUGCAUUUUGUCGUCCUUUUAAAAAUAAAAAAUGGAAUUACAAA